rnacentral:lncRNA from 1 species
UUAAUAACGAUAAAAUACACAAAGUAGUAAAUAAAUAAAUUUAAAAAAAAAAAAAAAAAAACAUUCUAUACAAAAAUUUGACAAAAUUGGCAAAAACGUAUUCGCGGUUAAUUAUACAUAAUAAUAAUUAUAUUUAACACGUUUUGUACAAUAUAAUAGUAUAUAUAUAUAUAUAUAUAAUAAUAAUAAUAUAAUGUCACGGGGAGGUCAAAAAAUAUAGGUACACGAAUAUAUAAUAAUAAUAAUAAUUGAUAAAAAUAAUUAAAAAUUAUAUUAAAUAUUUAUAAUUAAUAAUAAUAUUAUUAUCACAGCUGAGAAUAUAAAAUGAAGUAAAUAUUAUUAUUUAUCAUUAUUUAACAUGACUAGAUCGCCUGACGGUUGAAUAUAAUAAUAUAGAUAAGUAUAGAAAAGAAAUUUUUUUUUUUUUUUUUUGUGGAAACCCAUACGCAAAUUAUUAUUCUUCGUAUUAUCUUACUGUAAUAUUAGUAGUAGUAGUAGUAGUAGUGGUAGUAGUGGAUACAACUGCUUACACAACGACAGUGAUGAUAAAAAAAUUCGUGAUUUUAUUAUUAUUAUUAUUAUUAUUAUACUUAUUUGAAAUUCGUACGGGGAAAAAAAUGAGAAAACAAACAAUAAAAAAAAGCGUUGGCAAUGUCGAAUUUUUAAUAAUAUUACGCUCGUGUCUGCAGUAGUGUGCGGUAUACAGUGGCGGAUCCACGGGGGCGACGGAGGCGUAUAUAACCCGCCCCCUCCCCCUAUCCCCAAACACCGCGAAAUACAGUAAGUACGUUUUAAUAAAAAUUUUAAUAAAAUUAUUUAAAAAAAAUACGUACUGAGAUUUAUUGUUGUAAUUACAUUUGUCCCCCCCACUCAAAAAAAAAACAAAAAAAAAACAAACAAAUUAUGAUCUGGAUCCGCCUCUGUAUCUGCACUUUAUUAUUUUUCGGCUUUCGGUUGCUGAACGCACACCGGAUGUCCGAAUAGACUCCGGGACGUUCAGAAAAGGGUACAUAUUAUUAUCAUCAUCAUUAUCAUCAGAGCGUGUCGUGUUUUUCGUGAUUUCGUCGGCGAUUCCCCGGGUGUAUCGAUGUCGUAUAGGUAUAUGUCAUACGAAUCUAUAUCAAACAGAAUUCGAGAGAAAAAAAAAACCCGUCUAGUCGUAUGAAUUAUCGUAAGCAUCUCGUAGUAUUUCUUUUUUCUUUUUUUUUUUUAGAACGAGCGCGCGACGAUAGCGCUUUUCACCUGUUUUUUCCCGACGUAUAGUACGAUUAAAAUAUCAAAUCAAAUCGAAAGUCGCAGUGGACACGAUUUAGUGCGAACGUGGUUUUUUCCGUUGUUUUUGACGUUAUUUUAAAACGAUAAUUAAAAAGUCAGCGAAAAACCUAACUUAACCUGAUAGGAGGAUAUUUGGUCAUGAGUGCGGGAUGGAGGGAUCAUCAUUUUUACCAUUUUUUUCCUAUCCGAUAGCGAAAUUAUUCGUGUACGCUUCAGCCUACUGCUUACAUUCUUCUAUCUGUAGCACCAAAUAUGUACAUAAUAAUUUAUGUAUAAAUUGCACGACCAAAAAUAAAACCAAAGUUUACAAAUAGAUGUUUGGCGAAUUAAUUAAAAAGUGUUGUAGAGGGACUGAAAUCUUACACCACUUAAAAACAUUAUCAGGGAAGGGGGGUUCAACACAUUUUGGAGAAUCUUAAGCCCUCCUACGUCCUCCUCCCUUAAUAUGCAUAACCUGAUCCGCGUUUGAAAAAUGUACACAAGUACAUUUAUAGUAUACUUACGCGUAUAGCAUUAAAACUUGUUUAAGUAAUGAUUAAAUUUGAAAAUAAAAAAAAACAACAAAUUGUUUGGAUUUUGAAGCAAUAAUAAUGUUAAUCAUUAUCAUCGUAUAGUUCCGAAUGUGCACCGGAUUUAACCCUUGUCCUUUAAUUUUCGUUCGAUUAUGGAUUUUCAUUGGCCGCCUAAGAAUCAGCCACCUACCAAAAUAACUGCGAAGAAACCAUAUGAUGUUUUCGAGACGAUUUACGAACUGCGGCGUUAAUUCGUUCAAAAGUCGACCGAUUUCGAAAUGUUUCUAUUAUUUUAUUAUGGUUAUUAUUUUUUUUCGUUUUCGAAAUCACGGUCGAAAAAAAUACGAGGCCACUAAUCGUAUAUUAAUAUUUUUUUUUAUUUUUUUUUUUAUUUUUUGAAACCUAUACUAAAAUCACGAAUUCACGAAUUAUCACGAAUUAUAUGGAAACAAAAUAAUGCGUUUACCGACUUUCCACAUAAUUAACAUACUCGCUCACUGUGUACGCACGCAAGUAAAAAAAAAAAAAAAUAAAAAUAAUAAUAAAAAGUCUCGAAACAAAACGCCGUCGUCGUCGCACGACAUCGACAAAAACAGAAAAAAAAAAAAAAAAAAACAAAAUCAUAAUAUUUUCCUCUUUCCGGAACAAUUAUUAUUUGUUUAUUUCCCUGUGGCGUAUUCUUAUAGGAUAAUGAUCGCGUAAUAAUUAUACAGAUGAGCCGGCACGCGAUAAUGUUUUUGACUAGAAAUCCGACGG